AUUGAACGCUGGCGGCAGGCCUAACACAUGCAAGUCGAAUGGUAACAGGAAACAGCUUGCUGUUUCGCUGACGAGUGGCGGACGGGUGAGUAAUGUCUGGGAAACUGCCUGAUGGAGGGGGAUAACUAUUGGAAACGGUAGCUAAUACCGCAUAACGUCGCAAGACCGAAGAGGGGGACCUUCGGGCCUCUUGCCAUCAGAUGUGCCCAGAUGGGAUUAGCUAGUAGGUGGGGUAACGGCUCACCUAGGCGACGAUCCCUAGCUGGUCUGAGAGGAUGACCAGCCACACUGGAACUGAGACACGGUCCAGACUCCUACGGGAGGCAGCAGUGGGGAAUAUUGCACAAUGGGCGCAAGCCUGAUGCAGCCAUGCCGCGUGUAUGAAGAAGGCCUUCGGGUUGUAAAGUACUUUCAGCGGGGAGGAAGGGAGUAAAGUUAAUACCUUUGCUCAUUGACGUUACCCGCAGAAGAAGCACCGGCUAACUCCGUG
rnacentral:rRNA from 1 species